GAGACAGCAAGGGCUGUAGGGGGCGUGGACGAAGAACAGAGAAUAUGAGUUCUUCAGAAAGUGUAUAGAGUGAGAUCUCCACUGUCAUGUAGACCUUUACAAUGCCUCUGGAUAGAAGGAUGAGAAGCUAGAGAAAGACGGGUUAGAGACUGAAGAGAGCAGAGGACAGAAACCCCUAAUGACAGGCUACUCUGAAUCACCGUGCCGACUAAUGAGCUCUCAGACAUGGGAUUUUUCUGUACUUUGCUGCAGCCAUCUUGCCCUGUAUCUUCACAAGCUUUCCAGUCCUGGAUGAACAGAAGCAUCCCCACAGCAUGAUGCUGCCUCCACCACCAUGCUUCAAGAUAGGGAUGGUGUUCUUAGGAUGAUGUGCAGUGUUGGUUGUUCAAAUUCCAUAAUGAUGGAGCCCACUGUUUUCUUGGGUACCUCAAUGCUGCAGACAUAUUUUGGUAUAAUUCCCCAGAUCUGUAUCUUGACACAAUCCAAUUUCAGAGCUCUAUGAAGCUCCUUUGAGCUCUAUGUAGCUCCUUCGACCUCAUGGCUUGGUUUCUGGUAUCUUGGUAUCUUAUAUCAUGUGUGUGUCAUUCCAAAUCAUGAACAAACAUUUGAAUUCACCAGGUGGACUCCAAUCAAUUUGUAGAAUCAUUUUAAGUAUGAUGAAUGGAAACAGGAUACACCUGAGCUCAAUCAAAUUGUGCGUAUACUUACAGAGGGGAGAACAAGUAUUUGAUACACUGCCGAUUUUGCAGGUUUUCCUACUUACUAAGCAUGUAGAAGUCCGUAAUUUUUAUCAUAGGUACACUUCAACUGUGAGAGACGGAAUCCAGAAAAUCACAUUGUAUGAUUUUUAAAUAAAUGUAAACCUUAUUGAGGGGAGGAUGGAUGGGGCCAUGUAUGCGGAGAUCUUGGCCAACAACCUCCUUCCCUCAGUAAGAGCAUUGAAGAUGGGUCGUGGCUGGGUCUUCCAGCAUGACAACGACCUGAAACACACAGCCAGGGCAACUAAGGAGUGGCUCCGUAAGAAGCAUCUCAAGAUCCUGGAGUGGCCUAGCCAGUCUCCAGACCUGAACCCAAUAGAAAAUCUUUGGAGGGAGCUGAAAGUCUGUAUUGCCC
ensembl:lncRNA